rnacentral:lncRNA from 1 species
CAAUAGUCCUCCACAUAUCCAAUAGUGCCAGAACGUAGAAUGGGUCCUGGUCUUUCCCUUACAUAGCAUAACAUAACAUUCCAAUGUGCCAGAACGUAGAAUGGGUCCUGGUCUUUCCCUUACAUAGCAUAACAUAACAUUCCAAUGUGCCAGAACGUAGAAUGGGUCCUGGUCUUUCUCUUACAUAGUGCCAGCGAACGUAGAAUGGGUCCCACUGGUCUUACAUUCCAUACCGUACAUAUCAUAUCAUCAUAUCAUAGGUCGAGGACUAUGGAUCAUUCAACAUUCAUCCACAUCAACAACAUAAGAAUACAAUGCAACAUCUUC